ensembl:lncRNA
CGCCCUCGGCGCUGCCGUCCGGCCCUACAGCACAGCACUGCCUGCCCGGCCCGGGCACCGCCACCGCUCCUCCUGCCCGGGCUGCUCCAAACGAGGCAGCAGCACGGCUCCGGCCCGAGCCUCCUGGAGCAGAGGGCAGCGCCCCGAGCCUCCCGGCAGCAGCCAGGCACCUGCGAGCCCUAUAAUAAACCUCUCUGCCUCAACCACGGCUGCCCGCAACGUGGCACCGCACGACGGUCCCCAAAGCCUUAACGCGCUGACACGGCUUUGGUUGGUUGGUGGCAGCCACAUGUGGCACGGAUACGGAGCUUCUCAUUGCUCCGCUCUGAGGGGGAGAAACGGUGCUUUCAAAGCACUCCGAUUCCGAGAGAAAUAAGAGGUCACUUACCGAGGGUGCCCUUCCAUGGUGCCGGACCUGUUGCAAUACAAACGUUUGUUACUGCCGUAUUCCACACGCGGGUGAUACGUCUGGAGAAGUGUUACAGAACGCGGGUGAUGGAUGGAGGCAGAGGAGCGGGCAGCAUCCCGCGAGCAGCCAGUUUCAAUGAAGAUCUUCACCACGUUCGCCAGCCUCGGCCGGGGCGCAGCGAGCCCCCAGCCCCGCCCGGCCCAUCUCUACCUGCCCGUUCCCGCAGGCAGAGCCCGGGGCCCAUCUCCCCGCCCGCAGUGCCCGGAGGCGCGGAGGCACCGCAGCCCGGAGGCUGACGCCGACUUACUGCGCGCCCGGCGCGGGGCCGGGGGGAGAGGGGGCACCGGGGAGCGGGGCUGCCCGCACGGCCUCAUUCCCGCAGACGAAUCCCUGCUAACACUUCCCCGAUUACUGCUUCCAGGAACGAAAGCAUCUGCACUUGUACGCUCUUAAACUAAUUUAUGGUGGGAAUUAUAUUUUGGCUUGUCAACUCUCAAGCCAUAAAACAAAGUUUAUUGGAAUCACGUGCUCCUAAAUAGCCACUCAGGACCUAUCUCUGCGGAACCAUAAAUAACCUUCGGCUUUAAACUUUUAUUCGCUAAAUAAAGGUCCGCCGGCUGCUCUGUAAGCGGGUGCGGGGGCGGGCGGCUGGUCAGCUACGCGACGGCUUUGGGGGGAGCAUCCCACAGGGCGGUGGGUGUGUUCCCUGUCCCUUGGGCGGGGGGCGGUACCCCUCUCUGAGUGCCACCUCUGGAGGCACAGAGGAGCGCGUCGGGACAAAACGCGGAGUUAGCGCGGGGCGGGGGUCCGUCCCCCCCCGGGUGUUUGUGGCAUUUCAGUCAGACGGCCCUGGAAAGUGGUUUUGGCUCAUUCCGUUCGAGCUGUGCCGCGGCUGCGGGCUCGCCAGGCACCGAGGGGCGUCUGCGAGCGACCAAACUGCUGGGAGCAGCGGGCACCGGGCUUUGGGAGAGAGGGAAGUGUGAAGGCUGCCGCAAUUAGAUCUUUGAGGACUGGAAGUUUGAGGAGAGCUAUAAAACAAUAAAACAGCUCUGGUGUGAAGGGAGCAGGGUGUGAGUUAGCAAAUGAGAAUUUCAAGGAGCCCGAGCACAGGAAGUCAAACGUCCCUGGAGUCUCACGGCCGCGUCCGCACAAAGAACCCGGGCAAUAGCUCUCUAUCACGGCUCCGAAGCGGCCCAAAGCUGCUGAAGCCCGGGCCGGGGAGGGUGGUCCUUCUCGAGGGGGAACGGGCCACGGUCGCCCCGUCGGGGUCCGGCAGCGCACGGCCGCGGACAGCAGCACAUCUCUCCGACUCUGCCUCUGGGGCUCUGCUCUGCACAGCCCGGCCCGCGGCGGGGGGCACCGGCCGGCACCUGCCUAACGCCGGGGCGGGGUCUCCCCUGCGCUGCGCUCGCUGGGCCGAGGAAGUGAUCCCAGGCACCGAAGUCUGAGUUUAAUUAAAACGGGCCCUUAGUUCUCGCCCGACUCCUUAGCUUGUUCGACUCUUGUUCGAUGCCCUCAGCCACUCGGCAUCACCCACCGGCUCCCGGCCCGUGCCUCCCGCCCGCUGCGAGGGCAGGUGGCUGCUACCCUGGCUGCUCAGAGAGCCGGCAGAGCUCGUGAGGUGGAGAUGCGAAAGUUGACUUUGAAGCCCUGGCCAGUUCCUUCCCCGGGCUUGUAUGGCAGCUCCCGUUUUCGGGGCUGAUGAUCUGGAGACGGAUAAAGUGUGGAAUGAAGAAACCCCAUAAUAAUUGCUUUCCUUCCGGCAACGGUUGCGAUAAAAGGGUUGGGGAAAUGGAAUCGCACGGGUCGCCCUUGCUGCUCCGUGCCAGACGCUACGACAGCAUCCUGCCCCCAGGACCGCGCCGCCACAAAAUGACAGGCUCCGACUCUCUCUUUGAACAACUGCGCGCCUUGAUAGCGUCCAACGCAUUAUCGCUCCGUGCUUUUAUCGCUGCUUCGACUUUCCGCCCAUUCCCCGUGCAGGAUGUGGGCACGCAGAGGCCCGGGGCGGCCCCGGCGGCAGCG